GGCCUGGAUCGGCCGAGACGUUGCUAAUGCCAACCAAUUAUUUCCGGUUCAGCCGAAGAAGCCGAGAGAGGGGCGCAUGCGCGGACAGAGGUCUGACCCGCACCACUGCAGCUGUCCUCCAGGAGCAUCUGAGCUGCUUCCAUCUGGAUUUCAAAGGCCUUGGUUUCAGGCUGCAGCAUUUCACAGGAGGUGUCGUCCAGCCAAGAGAAAUAGCAAAUUCAAUGCUGCCUUAGAAAACAGGGUUGAAACGGAUCUGUGGAUUUUCACUUUGAUCUUUGGACCAUAAACACCACCGAGGAUGCGAGAGGGGUUUAGAUCAAGACCCUUCGAACAGAUUCUGGCAGUAUAAAACAGUAUCGCCCAUGUCUAUAUCAGGGUUCAGUAAUCCACUGUCUAAAAGAAGUGGCUAAUCACCCUCCUGUGAGGGCUGACCACUGUCAAGACACAGGAGACGCAGUGAUAGCAUGUGGUCUUUAGCAAAAGUCUACUCAGAAAGCCAGUCUUCACCAUGUGUCAUGAGACAGGUAUUUUGAUGGAUUUUUUUGUUUUAACAGCUGCAUUUAAGAUCUUGAUGCUAUGAACUUUAGAGUAGAAUGAACCAUUCUGAGCAUCCAAAAUAUGAGAAAACUUGCAAUUCCCACAAAAUAAAUGAAAGAUCUGUCAUGAUUUGCUUAAUGUAAUUCUAUUUUUAUUUGAUUUUUUUAAACAUUUUAUAAAUAAUGUUUACUCCCCUUGUGUGCUGAAUGUAAGACUAUAAAGCCUUUAACAGACUGGAGAGCUGACAGAUAGUAAUGCCCUGGCACUGCCCGCUGUGGCCUGUUAUCUGUGAGAAGUUUCCAGGCUUAAACCGAGCUUUGCACUCAGCAAAAUAAGACUUUUCCACACCUGGCUCUGGUUGCACGGAAUAGACACAUGGAUUCCAUUCCAGAGACUGAGGACUUGUCCUGCUUUAAGUCACCAGCACAUGUUUUCCAUUGAGCUUCCUGUUGCAUGUCAAAAAAGAAAAAAAGGAAAAAAAAAAAAGAACAUAAUUUCUGAAGUAUUAAUAAAUUUCAGACAAAAUUGCUCGGUUGUGCUUGGUUAAGUUGCAGGUUGAAUAAGUUUAUUAAACUUGUAUUAAACAGUAUAAAAGUUGUAAAUUAGAUCUUUGCUGAGCCAACACAACAAAACAAAUCAUUUCAACAAUUUUUUUACAGUGUACAUCUGCAAUAAAUGUGCAUAAAAUGACAUAAUGUGGUAUAAAAUGGCAUUAUUUUAUCAACUAUAUCCAUCUUUCUGGUUUAUAUUAAAGAUUAUUUUAACACUAUCACUUAUUUAAGACACUAUGUCAUACACAAGAUACGCAAUCCGUAACAUUUAAAGCAGUAUGAACAGAUGAUCUCCUGGAACUGAAAGUCAGUCUAUAGAAUUAGUGCUGGUUCUCUAGGGACUGUUCAAAUUGGGGAACAGUUUAGCUCAGAUGGCAGAUGUGAAGCUUAAUGGUGGAGUGUAGCAAAAAUAGGCCACAAGACAGUGAUUUACCCGUGCUCCUCUCACCCUCCUUGCCCUGUGUGUGAAAGCAAAAGUCCCUUCUUCUCUGACCAUUUACCCCUUGCUGAUAAGACCAGCACUAGAAUGGGAUGUUGCUGUGCUUGUGACCUAUCCAGGUUUCUUAACUAGUUUAACCAGCAAUUCCUCCUUGAUCAACCAGCUUUAACAGAAAGGUUAAGUUGGUUGACACCAUGCCUAUAAUGGUCCAUCAGCACCAAACCAGCAUAAACUGGCCUGUACCAGCAAGAACUUCUAGCCAAUAAGUAUCAACAGAAAGGCCAUUCUGAGCUUGAUUUCUCACAUAACCAACUAACUUGCUGCUUAACUACCAUACUUCAAUGCACCACUGGAAAAAUGUACUAGCUAGUCAUGACAGCUUCCCAAAGCUGUAGUGUCGCACAUCCGUCAAUUGAACCAUUGGUUCAAUAAUAUAAAAACUGUUGUUUGAUGACAUGGUAACAAACAUAGCAUCUGAAGACUGCUUUGUUACUUUUUUGUUCUCCUCUGUGUUACUUUAUUUCUAAUUGUGAUUCAGUUGUGGGUUCCCUAUCACAUUACACUGCUCUAGGAUAUAGAGUGCUGCAGUGAUGACUGGCAU